UUCUUUGAAACCCUCCCUUCACAGCUUCUCUCUCAUUUCUAAUUUCAAUUUCUUCAUCUUUCUUCUCAACGGCAUCUCUCUCUCCUCCUCCCCUUCUCUUUCGCUCUCUUGUCUCCUUCGUGUUCCUCGUCUUCACUCUUCCUAUCUCUCAAUUUCCAUUCUCUAAAAUGAAGCACGCACUCAAGAAACCCAUACCCAUGUCGCCGAUCCACUGCCAUCUUCUAUUCCUAGCGCUAACGGCGCCGGAAUCAAGGGCGGCAGACCCCUCGGAAACCUACAUCGUCUUCCAAAGAAAAUGAUUCACCGUCCGAUCCCAAUUCAUGGUUCCCGAUUCCAAACCCUCGCCGACUAAGUUGAAGAGCCUGCUCCCUCUUCUAACCCACUUAAGCGGAAGCUCAGUAUGGAGACCGUUCCUGAGAAUUCCAUCCCUGGGUUGUCUGAUUCUAUUGCGAAGAUUAGAGAAGAUGUAAAAUCUGGUGUAGAAAAUUUAACAGAGGAGUGUGUAUCCACAAUGGCAGACGUUACUAGGCUUCUAAUGAAGGUUUUUAUCUUCCUCGUGCUAAUAUGCGAAACUAAGUGCACCCCUAUCCAUGGAAGUACGGAGGAGUCCAGAAAGUUUUCACCUGCAACACAGUGAAAGUAAACCUUCGUCUAUCGAAGAAACACGCUCAAGGAAUUUACUGAGAACAUUGAGAUCAAUUUCAACAAGCUUUACUACUAGUUUUGAUAAGCUUACAAGUUUUGGAAACAUAAGUUUUGAUCGAGAAGUUAGGAGUGAAGGUUUUCGAAGUGAAAGGAGAUGAUGUUGGUUGUGUGGUAAAGAACUCUGCCAUGUUGGUUGGUACAAUGUACACUUUGCAUGCUGCUGAAAUUCACAUUGAUCUUCCAACACUUACUGAGAAAGACAAAGAGUAACAUUCUUCAGUUUCCUGUUUUUUAUGCCUAUCAUAGCUACGUGGGGAGUAAAAAACAAGAUUGACUUCCUCUCUCUGUCACAUGCUAGACAUGUGGAAGAUGUUCGACAAGCUCGACAAUUUCUUUCUAAGCUAGGUGACCUUAACCAAACUCAAAUAUUUGCAAAGAUUGAAAGUGUAGAGGUGUUUUUGUUUCAGAAAGCUACCCUUUAUAGAUGUAAUAUGGCUGGAAAGCCUGCUGUUUUAACUCGUGUGGUAGACAGCAUGACUAACAACUUGAGACCUACACGUGCAGUAGCUACUCAUGUUGCCAAUGCUGUACUUGAUGGAAGUGUGCAAUUCUUCUUGGGGCUGAGACAUUGUGUGGAUUACAUCCAGUAGAAACCGUUUCAACCGUUAGUAGAAUAUGUGCUGAGGCACAACUUUCAUUUGGAGAAAACAAACAUUUAAUGUGAGGUCAUGAGUGCAUUAAAAGGACUAGAAAAGGGCUCGUUAAAGGGAAGUAGAAGGCAAACCAUACAUGAUGGAAGUGUGCAAUUCUUCUUGGGGCUGAGACAUUGUGUGAUUACAUCCAGUAGAAACCGUUUCAACCGUUAGUAGAAUAUGUGCUGAGGCACAACUUUCAUUUGGAGAAAACAAACAUUUAACGUGAGGUCAUGAGUGCACUAAAAGGACUAGAAAAGGGCUCGUUAAAGGGAAGUAGAAGGAAAACCAUACAUGAUGGAAGUGUGCAAUUCUUCUUGGGGCUGAGACAUUGUGUGGAUUACAUCCAGUAGAAACCAUUUCAACCGUUAGUAGAAUAUGUGCUGAGAACUGGGUUCAAUAAAUCUGGUUACAGCUUCGGAAAAGUCAUUGGCAUGUAGUUCAACAACAAAGGUAGUGGUAUUGGUGGGUUCAAUGGCUUUUCUUUCAGAAUUCCUGAAUGUUACAAUAUUAUUGGUCACGAGGCCUUUCUCGUCUUUCAUGCGUACAUGCUCAUUUAUCUUGGAAACCUUUGUUGUUGUUGUUCAAACUUGGUUGGAGCUGUUGAAGACCUCGGUCAGUCUUCACUUGAACAUAUUUUGGACAACUUUGAUGUGGAUAAUCGCAAUUGUCUCUCUUCCUGGACGAAUUUUAGCUGCUUUACGAAGGGAAAGGCAGUUGCAACAAUAUGUGCAAUUUUUGGAAAUCGUGAUAAUGUUUUGCUGGAAAGAAAGGAGCUCCAAAAACAAUUCCAGGCUGCUUUGAAGGAGCAUAAGAUGAUGGAAUUGAUGUUGCACGAACUUGAAAUGAUACAUGAAAAGGCAACCAACAAGAUUGCACUCUUACAAAGUGAGGUUAUUGGAGCGUUUUGGUAUUUAUUCACAGCAGAGAGAAAAACAACUUGCUGGGAAGAAAGCUAUGCAAAUUGGCCUCUAAACUGCAAUUACAUAGGCAACUUGAGUGCCAAUUUGAGUGCCUGACACCUUUUGCUCUCUAAAAGCUGAAAAUACUUCCAAUUCUUUUGAUUUUGGAAUAUUCAAAGAUGCUAUAUGUAUUGUGGGAUCAAGAAAGAUCGUGAAGUAACUGUCUCUUUGUUUUGUGGGAUCAAGAAAGAUCGUGAAGUACCUGUCUCUUUGUUUUUGGUGGAGUGCAGAAAUUGAGACAAAUUUGUUUUAGAGAAAAAAAUCGAUCCUCCAAAAUGGGACCUCUUGAAACCUGUUCCAUUUGACAUCGAUUGGAGGCCGCUAUAAACCAUGCUUGGGCAGAAUUCUGAUGUCCAUUAUAUGCACAUUUGUAGGAAGGAUUGUUCUUUAAGGACAAACUAAGAGCAUAGUGUUGCUGUUGAGUGAAGGAAGAGCGUGAUAAGAGGCA